UAUUUUAGAGCCCACAAAGAAACCAGGACUAGUAGAAAGAGGCAUUGGUCAGUUGAAGAGAAGAUGGGGAGUUCUACAUGGUGAAAAUACUCUACAGCCUUUUAAAGCAUGCAAUGUGAAGUAACAGUAAAGCAGAAUGGCUACGGACCAUGAGCUUCAGAGAUCUUUGUUCAGCUUUGUAUUGUGAAAAGUAGUACUUUGCACCAUAAAAUCUACAGAUAUAGCAGCUGGAGACCUGAUUACAUUAAAGUAAUAUCUGUAUACAUUUGAGGUUUUUUCAUGGAAAGUGGUGUAAAAGACUGUUGAUAAACAAGAAGGUCACUGGGCUUUAUGGCAGUGCAGACAGAAAGAUUUGUAUUCAUACAGUGACACCUCCAGAGAUGCAGAUGCUUAUAUAUUUGUCUAACCCUAAAUGGAGUGCACAUUCAAAUGAAAUAGCUCCUGAUGCUGAUGUCCAACUUUCCAAGGGACAGAUAAAUUGUAAAUUAAGGUUCUGCUUUGCUAAAGUUGUGGUGACACACUGACAACAGAUUACAUUUUUCUGUGAUAAUGUGAUGAAACCUUUUGUAUAGGUUGUGCAUGAGAAAGUGAGAGAGAACUUUUUUGUUGGAACCUUAAGGUAUACUCGGGUUACAAAUUUGCAGCAACUGUCAGCAACUUAUGAAACCAGUACCUGUUUUGAAGAUAGGACUUACAGCAGAAAGUUGGCUUCAAUACAGAUCCAUGCAAUUUGUGGUGACUUUCUGCCUAAGAUUUCAGGCUGGAGAUAAUAUUGGCAGAUCUUAGACUCUUCAAGAUUUAAAAUAAAAAAUGAUUGCAACGUAAGACUACAUGCAUAUAGUUUCAAUGAAAGGUUUUGUCUGGUUUUGUAUUAUAUACAACAUUAUCAUGGUCUGGAAAAUAAUCAUGCUGAAGACAAAUUUUUCAAUACUAAAUAAGGAAUCAUUAGGUUUUAUUGUUUACAGAAUUUUUGAGUAAUUAUAAACCCAACUGUAUUGUGUCUUAGAUAUAAAAUGAAAACUUAUGAUUGUAUCAUGUUUGGUAUACAUAAGUACAACUUGACUUUCUUGUGUGUAAGUAGAUUGAAAUAAAUUCCUGUGCAACUGGCGCACCCAAACAUAAUGUAUUCUGAGCUUAAACUUAAGAAAGAAUGUAUUAAUGUUUUAAAGUCACUAAUUAAAAUUGGAGACAAAAAUUAAAGUAGAUUUACUACAGUAUCAGAUAUUUUCAUGUGACUAGUAUUUCAAACUGUCUUGAUUCACUAAUUGUUCAGUUUUAGAAAGUAAUUAAUAGCGGAAACACUAAAAAUACAAAAAAAAAUAAUUCCACAUGAAAAGUAGUACCAUAUCAGUUUAAAUGAGUUGCAGAAUAUGUAAAUUUGUUCAUUAUUCUAAAGGAAACACUUUAAUAUCCGGCUCCUGGGGAGGAAUAUAGUUUUGGCAUGGUCUGUCCAUCUUUUCAUCCAUCUGGAGCCAUAUGAGACAUGGUGUCAAGUAAACCUGGUAGAAAUAUUCACUGCUAUAGGGAAAUGCAGAGCGCAAGUUUCAUAUUGAUAUAUAAUAUAGUGUUUGUAUUUAAUUUUCAAUCUGUCGGAGUCGUAUCUCAGACAUGGUUUGCAGGAUUUCAGUAAAUUUUAAAGCUGGUAUAAAUGAUAACUGCUUUAACGAAAAUUGGCCCUGCCAGGUUUCAGUUCAUUUGCAAGAUGUUUUUUUCUGUCUGCCUCUCCUGAGCCUUAUGUCAGACAUGUUUAGGAGUAUUUCAGUAGAACAUGGUACUAAUGUAAUAUGGUUGCUGUGCAAGUUUCAAUGAAAUUGUUUGAGGAACAGAAGAGUAGUAUAAUACAGAAUACGUGUAUUUACAACAUUGGGUUUUUUUCAUAUGGCAUAAGGUCAAUUUUGCUGUGGAACAUUGUGACCAAGCAUAGUAUGUAGUUUUCUGAGAGACUCUGGUGUGCAUGCAUUCUUGCAGCUUGGUUUAAGGUCAAGGUUGCUGUUGCUGAAAAUAGAAAAAAUGUUUCUUCUCAAUAAAUAUAGUUAAGAAUAAGGUGUUGGAACCAAACUUGGAAAUUCGGAGGAAUGCACGGAGGCCAUAAUUAUACUUGUGUUUUGCGCUACUUAGGUCAAGGUCAAGAUCAUCGUUACUUAAAUAACAGAAAAAAAUGUUUUUCUUAUAAUUACUCAAAAUAACUUCAUUCAGAAAGUUAGGAAUGAACUAAACUGGUAAAUAGGUUGUUUUUGUAGAAGCCAAUGUUAUGGUUACAUUUUUGGUCAAGGCCAUUGUAACUACAUUUAUCACAUAUUUGACAUCAUGGGAGUAAAAUAAAGCCAUUACAUAAAAUUGAUAAUACACUAGUGUAAUAAAGCCUUGACGUCACCUUCAUUUUAAGUAUAGAAGAAGUUGGUCAAAUUGACUUGUUUAUAAUAGUUAAAGAAAGUAGAAUUUUUGAUGUUUCGGCAGGAAAAACUAACAUGUGAUAAAAAGAAUAUUACAUUUUGUGACUUUCCACAUUGAAUUUAUUAAAUUUGUUGAAUAAAAUUGAUAAAAUGCUCGGCAGAGCCUCGCAUUUUAUUUUAUUCAACUUGUUUAAAAAAUUCAGUAUGAAAAGACACUCAUGUAAUAUCCUCUACAUAGGAAAAUUGUUUUUGGUUGAUAAUUUAGUUAGGAAUAGAAAGUUUGACAAAACUUUGUAUAUAUGUAACUGCCAUGGAGACUAAAAUUUAUUUGCAUUUUUUUGUUGCUAUGGUCAAGGUCUAGAACAGUGUUUACUUAUGAAAAAUAGAAAAACAAAUAUAUUAACUUCAGUUAGAAAUAAAACAUACAUUUUUACACUAAACUUGGUUCUCAGGUGUAUUGCACAGAGACCAAGAUACAUUUGCAUUUUGGUUUGCAUUAGUGAAGGUCAUUGUUACAUAUGAACUUGAAAUAAGAUGUUUUUACACAAUAACAUCUUUUAGAAGUGAAGUACUUUACUAUAAAUAUGUAAACUGUUUCAGAUUUAAGUAAUGAGGUAUUUGGACUAUACUGACACCCACUGUGGAAAUAUAUAUAUACAAAUGUAUAUGCUUUUGCAAGCAGACAAUGUUUUUAUUAAGGAGAAACCUUUGGCCCAUUCAGAAGUGAAUAUCACAUCAUUGAGUUAGCUAAAUAUUCCCUAUGGAAACAAACUUGUACUUAACAUGGAUGAUUUGCAACAGUUCCUGAUUAUGUAUUUGCCAAAGAUCACUUUUACAAAAUGCAAUUUUUAACACAUUUUGAGAGGAUAUUGUUUUUACCUAAGGAAGUAAUUGCUUUAACCUGCAAGUGAGAUUGUAUUAAUGUGAAUGUGUGUAUUCUAACAAGAGACUUCUUUGCAUGCUUUCAAUUCAGGUUGUUACUCUAAGAAUUUGUAUUCUGAAUAGGAUACGUCAUAGCAACCACUGCUGGCUUUAUUGUUUUUUAUUGAAAGAAAAUUUAAUAGUUUUGAUUUUGCCCAAUUUUAACUAGUCAGAACUGGAUAUUUUAAAUUCAAAGGGACCAAACAGUGGUAAAUAUCCCUAGUCAAACUUGGCACCUGGUCUGAGAACUUUGUGUGAGUGAAAUAAUAUACCCAGUGUUUGCGUACAAUCUUACAGUUUAGUUUGGCUGUUGCAGUAUUUAAAAAUGAAAAGUUUAUGUGGAAUUGUGUUUUAUUUUGUAAUUUAAAUUGUUUUCCAUCAAAUGACAUUUUACAAAAAAUGUUUAUAUGUGUAGAUUGAUUUUUUUUUCUCAAGUGAUAU